rnacentral:rRNA from 1 species
UACGGAGGAUGCGAGCGUUAUCCGGAUUUAUUGGGUUUAAAGGGUGCGCAGGCGGGAGAUUAAGUCGGCGGUGAAAUUUUGCAGCUCAACUGUAAAAGUGCCGUUGAUACUGUGAGGCUAGGAUUUGGUUGCUGUGGGUGGAAUGUGUGGUGUAGCGGUGAAAUGCAUAGAUAUCACGAGGAACUCCGAUUGCGAAGGCAGCUUACUAAGCUACUACUGACGCUCAGGCACGAAGGCGUGGGGAUCAAACAGGAUUA